rnacentral:rRNA from 1 species
AUUGAACGCUGGCGGCAUGCCUUACACAUGCAAGUCGAACGGCAGCAUGAUCUAGCUUGCUAGAUUGAUGGCGAGUGGCGAACGGGUGAGUAAUACAUCGGAACGUGCCCUGUAGUGGGGGAUAACUAGUCGAAAGAUUAGCUAAUACCGCAUACGACCUGAGGGUGAAAGUGGGGGACCGCAAGGCCUCAUGCUAUAGGAGCGGCCGAUGUCUGAUUAGCUAGUUGGUGAGGUAAAGGCUCACCAAGGCGACGAUCAGUAGCUGGUCUGAGAGGACGAUCAGCCACACUGGGACUGAGACACGGCCCAGACUCCUACGGGAGGCAGCAGUGGGGAAUUUUGGACAAUGGGCGAAAGCCUGAUCCAGCAAUGCCGCGUGUGUGAAGAAGGCCUUCGGGUUGUAAAGCACUUUUGUCCGGAAAGAAAUGGCUCUGGUUAAUACCUGGGGUCGAUGACGGUACCGGAAGAAUAGGGACCGGCUAACUACGUG